rnacentral:misc_RNA from 1 species
CUGAGUGCGGGCCCCUCGCGGGUCCAACCUCCCACCCGUGUCUCUUGCAUACCCUGUUGCUUUGGCGGGCCCACCGGGACACCCCCGGUCGCCGGGGGGCACUGCGCCCCCGGGCCCGCGCCCGCCAGAGCGCCUGUGAACCCUAAUGAAGAAGGACUGUCUGAGUCUACGAUAUAAUUAUCA